AUUGAACGCUGGCGGCAUGCCUAACACAUGCAAGUCGAGCGAGCGGCGGACGGGUGAGUAAUGUCUGGGAAACUGCCUGAUGGAGGGGGAUAACUACUGUAAACGGUAGCUAAUACCGCAUACCAUCAGAUGUGCCCAGAUGGGAUUAGCUAGUAGGUGGGGUAAUGGCUCACCUAGGCGACGAUCCCUAGCUGGUCUGAGAGGAUGACCAGCCACACUGGAACUGAGAAACGGUCCAGACUCCUACGGGAGGCAGCAGUGGGGAAUAUUGCACAAUGGGCGAAAGCCUGAUGCAGCCAUGCCGCGGGUGUGAAGAAGGCCUUCGGGUUGUAAAGCACUUUCAGCGGGGAGGCGUUACCCGCAGAAGAAGCACCGGCUAACUCCGUGCCAGCAGCCGCGGUAAUAC
rnacentral:rRNA from 1 species